GACGAACGCUGGCGGCGUGCCUAAUACAUGCAAGUCGAACGAGAGCGACCGGUGCUUGCACUGGUCAAUCUAGUGGCGAACGGGUGAGUAACACGUGGGUAACCUGCCCAUCAGAGGGAGAUAACAUUAGGAAACGGAUGCUAAAACCGCAUAGGUCUUCGAACCGCAUGGUUUGAAGAGGAAAAGAGGCGCAAGCUUCUGCUGAUGGAUGUACCCGCGGUGCAUUAGCUAGUUGGUGAGGUAACGGCUCACCAAGGCCGUGAUGCAUAGCCGACCUGAGAGGGUGAUCGGCCACAGUGGGACUGAGACACGGCCCAAACUCCUACGGGAGGCAGCAGUAGGGAAUCUUCCGCAAUGGACGCAAGUCUGACGGAGCAACGCCGCGUGAGUGAAGAAGGUUUUCGGAUCGUAAAACUCUGUUGUUAGAGAAGAACAAGUGCUAGAGUAACUGUUAGCGCCUUGACGGUAUCUAACCAGAAAGCCACGGCUAACUACGUG
rnacentral:rRNA from 1 species